UGGGGAAUAUUGCACAAUGGAGGGAACUCUGAUGCAGCGACUCCGCGUGAGUGAUGAAGGAAUUCGUUUCGUAAAACUCUGUUCUCUGGGAAGAAAAGGACUGUACCAUAGGAGAAAGCUCCGGCUAAAUACGUGCCAGCAGCCGCGGUAAUACGUAUGGAGCGAGCGUUGUCCGGAAUUAUUGGGCGUAAAGGGUGCGCAGGCGGCUUUACAAGUUGGAUGUGAAAUAUUGUGGCUCAACCACAAACGUGCAUCCAAAACUGCAAAGCUUGAGUUAAGGAGAGGUAAGGGGAAUUCCUGGUGUAGCGGUGAAAUGCGUAGAUAUCAGGAGGAAUACCGGUGGCGAAGGCGACUUACUGGACUUAAACUGACGCUCAGGCACGAAAGCGUGGGGAGCAAACAGG
rnacentral:rRNA from 1 species